CGGGGUGUGGCGCAGCCUGGUAGCGCACCUGCUUUGGGAGCAGGGGGUCGGAGGUUCGAAUCCUCUCGCCCCGACCA
rnacentral:tRNA from 1 species